AACAUUCUGGGGAGCUCUUUCAAGGAGAGCUUUAAAACCUGGGUAGCUGCACACAAUAAAUGUUCAUUAUCCCUGCUUUGAUACUGUUUCAGUUUUUCAUUCUUGCAACUCUGUAGCUGUCCCCUGACAAGUGGUGCCCGACAUGGGGUCCCCCUGUUUUUUUUGGAACCCCCCAGUUCUUUUUGGAGAACCCCCGAAUCUGCGUGCUGCUCAUGCAGAGUUCCGAUGCUAAGGAGAUGUCCUCGGUGGUAAAGACAGAAUAUGGCUCCCUUCCUGCUGAGUUUGAGAAAUUGACCAUAAAGAGAAGGACAAGGAGAGGACGCAGGAAGCCCUGGCAAGGAGAACCGACAAUGUCUCCAUAAGAUACUGACUCUUCUGCUUCUAUUUCAGAAUUUAAGUACAGCUAUCAGAAUAAAGAAAUGGGCUUUUUGGGAAUAACCACCUUGGGUAGAGUAUGUCGGCAUGGGACACGCUUUACCGGAAGUCAUCUUAUAUACAAAAAACAACUCUGGCAUUCCAGGCAUUUAUCAUUUUGAAGGACCAUAUAGGGACAGCAAUCAGGCCAAUCAUUUGUUUGUUUCUUUCAAUUGGACUGGACUAGCUGAGACACCCCCAGCGUGCCUCGCACAAGACCAUCCUGAAUGCCUGCCCCUCAGAUCUCUGCAGGCGCAUUAUUAUGGUCAUCCUGACCUGUCAGACUCUUUCUGGAUAGGACCUUAUCACAUAGACAAAAAGGAUUCAGCUUGCCUUUGUGGGUGACGCCCCCAGAGCUAAUUGGUUACAUUCUGCUAAUUUCACACAGAUUUUGACUGAUUAUGGAAAGACAGCCCUGGCAUUGGAUAAAGUAAAUAUGUCUCAUUAUGUUAAUGUUACUUAUGAUAGAAAAGUCCAAAAACCAGUAAAUAGAAGUGUUACAUUAGACAUUCAAGCUUUCCUAACUGGAAUAUGCUUUUAUAACUACAGUAAAAGAUCAUCCUGAAGCAUUGAACAUUACUGAAAUAACACACAAAGGAGUUAGAUAUUGGAAUAUAACCUGCAGCAAUUGUAGGGUCAGUCAUUGUGUAGGAUCACAAGGGAAUGGGCUGGUCUUAAUCAUCAAGCUACCACACAUGGCCAUAUGGUAGUCCAGGGGAUCAAAUUCUUCAUGUAUUACAACAAAAAAUAACACAACGACGUAAACAAUGUAUUACUUGUAUUGCAUUAGGCAUAGUAGCAUUAGUUUCUGCAUUGGCUUCUACUAUAAUAGGUUCUGUAUCUUUGGCACAAUCAGUUUCUAACUUACAUACUCUUGAACAUGAUGUCAAUUAUUUGAAAGCAUUGGCUGCUAAUAUAACCUCAGCAUUAGAAAGACAAAAAGAAAUUGAUAUAAGUUUUUACAAAAGUAUUAUGAUGUUAUAGAAAAAUAUGAUUGACCUAAUGAAUGAAGUAGAAUAUUUGUCAUUGAAAACACGCAUGAAAAGUGAUUAUAGAUAUACUGCAUUUUGCUU
rnacentral:lncRNA from 1 species